rnacentral:rRNA from 1 species
CGCGCAGGCGGGCUGAUCAGUCUGGGGUGAAAUCUCUCGGCUCAACCGAGAGAGGCCCUCAGAUACUGUCAGCCUUGAGGUGCCUAGAGGAGAGUGGAAUUCAGGGUGUAGUGGUGGAAUGCGUAGAUAUCCUGAGGAACACCAGUGGCGAAGGCGACUCUCUGGGGGCAUUCUGACGCUGAGGCGCGAAAGCGUGGGGAGCGAACAGGAUUAGAUACCCUGGUAGUCC